GUUAAGGUUACAAAGGCAAUCUUUAACUUUGAAUUAAUAUGUCUACAGCAAAAGGAAAUUGAGGCCCUGAAGAACCAAACUGAAACCAUGACCAAUGAGCAACCACUGCCAGGACGACUCCUUCAAGAGGUUAAAGAGAGGGGCUGUUUGCUGGUGCUAUUGGAACGGGUGCACUGAUUCUCUGGAAAAUGAAGAAUUGAAUAGUCUACAUUGAAGGCAUUUGCAUACUCAAACAUUUUCCUUCAGGAUACACUCGAUAUGUCAAUGCUCAAUAAAGCUCAAUAGUUUCAAUACUG